GUGAAAUGAAGCAAGAUCUCUGCAAAUCUAAAGCAAAUGUCAAAUGGCUUUAAAGAAGAAUUAUUGAAUCUCACUGAACAACUGAAGCAAAUGAAUAAACAGAAUAUCCCAGAACGACUGUUUGAGUUUUCUGAACAAGUGAAGCAAAUAACCUUGACAGAUAAUGUGGAGACCUCUGAACAGGAAACACGUGA